AAAGGUUUUGUUGAAUGAAAUGCCAUUUUUUUUUGUUUUUUCCCUUAGGGAACAAUAAGAAAAUUUCUCUUUUUGAGCCAAUCUCCUUCUGAAACGAGCUCCAGGAGUGGUCACAACCUGCCAUAAAAAUGCCAUGUGCAAGAGGAUAUAUUUCAUAUCGGGCAAGCAGGCUGGGACGAUACGAUCUGUUUGGGGUUUGAAGCUCUAUCAAGACCAGCAAAACCACAGCAGGGUUGGACUUGACUUGCCCCCUUGCUGCCUUUUGAGCCAUUUGGUGUUUUCUGGAUUCCUCCCUCCCUCAUUUGUCAUGUCUGCUGUGACUUCCCAGCAGGCAGCAGACACGAGGUACGUGCUGAGUGAUCAUCCUGUUGGGUUUUCCAUGUCUGACACUCAAAAAUAAAAAUUAUGUGGAGGGGAAAGAACUGUUUGCUGCGAGUGAUAACGGCUCUGCUGGCGUGGGGACACUGGGGACAGCACACAGGGACACAGGAGGUGUGCUGGCCCUGGAGCACUGCAGGCAAAAGGGGUGGGGUGUGGAAAAUCAGUGGCAGGGCACGAGGCUCUGUGGAGCAGUCUGGGGCUGCCAGGCUGUCCUGGCAAACCUGGGCUGGGUUUAAAUUUAUGAUUUAUGGGCUGGAUGCAGAGCUGUAAAUCCUGCUCUGAUUCUGCUUUGGGGCUCUCGGGGAAAACUCCAGCUGAGCUUUGUCCUGCUUUUUCACAUAAACACAAACCAAAAGCCUCAGCCCAAAUUCUGCCAGAUCAGGGGGACUGUGCCAAAGCAGAGUAUUUUUAACUGUCUUCCCCUGUUUUUUGGCUUUUGGGAUGGGCAUUGGGGUGCUGGGCAAUAAAUAAAGGAAGAGAGACAGUGUUUUGUGAACUCUGGGCAUGACCUUUUCCACGAGGUGAAGUUAUUGUGUGAGGCUUUCCUGUCUCAAUGGGAAGGGACAGCACAAUAAACGAUCCCUCAGCAGAUGCUGACAACUCAAUCACGAGGGUAGGAACUAAUUUCAAGGUCCAGCCAAACUGAAAUUGCUGCUGAGCCACAGCUGGGUGUGAGGCAUCAUUUGGACUGGGGGGGCAUCAGCGGCCCAGAACAAGGCAGUCACAAGAAAAGGCUAAAAAACCUCAUUUAUUUAACAUCAGGGGAUAAGCAACCUCUAGAUAGGAAGAUACAGAGUGAUUUACUGCCCUUAAAAUCUGUUUGGUCUUUAAUUUUUUUUUUUUUCCCUAAAUAAAACUCUCAUAAAUAAAGGUGGCUUGGAUAAGGCCCUUUACUGCACCGCAGCACCAGAAAGCAGAGCACCACUGGCAGGAAA
rnacentral:lncRNA from 1 species